rnacentral:tRNA from 1 species
CCGACUUUAGCUCAGUUGGUAGAGCGGAAGACUGUAGUAUGCAAGCUGUUAUCUUUAGGUCGCUGGUUCGAAUCCGGCAAGUCGGA